UGCGCAGGCGGCCAAGUGUGUUAGGCGUGAAAGCCUGAGGCUUAACCUCAGAAUUGCACCUAAAACUACUUGGCUAGAGCAUUGGAGAGGGUAGCGGAAUUCACGGUGUAGCAGUGAAAUGCGUAGAUAUCGUGAGGAACACCAGAGGCGAAGGCGGCUACCUGGACAAUUGCUGACGCUCAGGCACGAAAGCGUGGGGAGCAAAAGGGAUUAGAUACCCCUGUAGUCCACGCCCUAAACGGUGCACACUAGGUCUUGGCGGAUUCGACCCCCCCAGGGCCCAAGCUAACGCGUUAAGUGUGCCGCCUGAGGACUACGGCCGCAAGGCUAAA
rnacentral:rRNA from 1 species